GAUGAACGCUAGCGGCAGGCUUAACACAUGCAAGUCGAGGGGGUAUUUGUCUUCGGAUAGAGAGACCGGCGCACGGGUGCGUAACGCGUAUGCAAUCUACCUUUUACAGAGGGAUAGCCCAGAGAAAUUUGGAUUAAUACCUCAUAGUAUAUAGACCUGGCAUCAGGAUUAUAUUAAAGUCACAACGGUAAAGAUGAGCA
rnacentral:rRNA from 1 species